UACGUAGGUGGCAAGCGUUGUCCGGAUUUAUUGGGUUUAAAGGGUGCGUAGGCGGCCCUGUAAGUCAGUGCUGAAAUAUCCCGGCUUAACCGGGAGGGUGGCAUUGAUACUGCAGGGCUUGAGUGCAGAUGAAGUAGGCGGAAUUGACGGUGUAGCGGUGAAAUGCAUAGAUAUCGUCAAGAACACCGAUAGCGAAGGCAGCUUACUAAGCUGUAACUGACGCUGAGGCACGAAAGUGUGGGGAUCAAACAGG
rnacentral:rRNA from 1 species